AAACGACUCUCGGCAACGGAUAUCUCGGCUCUCGCAUCGAUGAAGAACGUAGCGAAAUGCGAUACUUGGUGUGAAUUGCAGAAUCCCGUGAACCAUCGAGUCUUUGAACGCAAGUUGCGCCCGAAGCCACUAGGCUGAGGGCACGUCUGCCUGGGCGUCAC
rnacentral:rRNA from 27 species